UACAGAGGUCUCGAGCGUUAGGCGGAAUCACUGGGCUUAAAGCGUGUGUAGGCGGAUCGUUAAGUACCUUGUGAAAUCCCACGGCUUAACCGUGGAACUGCUUGGUAUACUGGCGGUCUUGAGCCAGCUAGGGGCGACCGGAACAAAUGGUGGAGCGGUGAAAUGCGUAGAUAUCAUUUGGAACGCCAAUGGUGAAAACAGGUCGCUGGGGCUGUGCUGACGCUGAGACACGAAAGCCAGGGGAGCAAACGGG
rnacentral:rRNA from 1 species